GGAUGCGAUCAUACUAGAACUAACGCAUCGGAUCCCAUCAGAACUCCGAAGCUAAGCGUGCUUGGGCGAGAGUAGUGUUAGGAUGGGUGACCCCCUGGGAAGUCCUCGUAUUGCAUCCC
rnacentral:rRNA from 1 species